rnacentral:misc_RNA from 1 species
GUGAGUCAUCGAAUCUUUGAACGCACAUUGCGCCCGCCAGUAUUCUGGCGGGCAUGCCUGUCCGAGCGUCAUUUCAACCCUCGAACCCCUCCGGGGGGUCGGCGUUGGGGAUCGGCCCUGUCACCGGGUGCCGCCCCCUAAAUACAGUGGCGGUCUCGCCGCAGCCUCUCAUGCGCAGUAGUUUGCACACUCGCACCGGGAGCGCGGCGCGUCCUCGUCCGUAAAACACCCCAAACUUCUGAAAUGUUGACCUCGGAUCAGGUAGGAAUACCCGCUGAACUUAAGCAUAUCAAUAAGCGGAGGA